rnacentral:rRNA from 1 species
UACGGAGGGGGCUAGCGUUGUUCGGAAUUACUGGGCGUAAAGCGCGCGUAGGCGGCUUCGCAAGUCAGAGGUGAAAGCCUGGAGCUCAACUCCAGAACUGCCUUUGAAACUGCAUCGCUAGAAUCAUGGAGAGGUUAGUGGAAUUCCGAGUGUAGAGGUGAAAUUCGUAGAUAUUCGGAAGAACACCAGUGGCGAAGGCGACUAACUGGACAUGUAUUGACGCUGAGGUGCGAAAGCGUGGGGAGCAAACAGG